GAAAGCUGUCACUUAUGCAGGUAUUGGCUCACGACUCUGAAUUCUCUUGUAAGGAACAUGGUUUUUUGUGGAGGGAAAAUUAGUUUUGAUUGAGGUAUUGUUUGUGAAACUUCAAUCUGGAAUUCUUGCAGUCCACAAAUAGACCACACAUUUCUGUACCAGGAUAAGCUGUUGGAAUGGUUCAUAACCUCAUGUCUUCUGAAGAUGAAAUACUGGAUUUUUACACAAUUCAACAUUAUGGAACCUCCACACCUGCUGGUAUUUGUAUCAUUAACGACAGAACUAAUGACAAGGUAGAUGGUUACUUCAUUAAGAACACAUGACAACUGAAUUUCAUUGUUGGUUGCAAGGUUUUUGCCUAUGUUCUAUUCUGACCUCAAAAGACACUGUAAAAAAUGUCUAUAAACUCACUUUAUAAAUAACAGUAAAAAAUAUUGUCCACUUUGAUUCCCAUGUAAAGGUAAGCAGCUUAAUCUAUGGAUGAACAGAAGUGUAGGUUCUAAUGUGUUUAACCAGUUGAUAAACACAGUUCAUUACAAUUAUUUCAGCUCGAUAAUAUUAGAAGCAAGACUCCUUUCAAGUUAUUUUUCUUUGGAAGUUCUGUGUCUGUUAGUCUCACCAUAUUCUUUUUGCCUAUUUUUUAUCAGUAUUCUUUGCUACUGUAAAUCUUUUCAAGGUACAAACAUUCUGUAUUCAAGCCAGUCUUCCAGUUACAGAAAUGGAAAAAAUCCCAAAUGAGUAAGAUCAAUCAUUAAUUUGAUUACUGUUGUUUCGUUCAGGUUCCAUAUUUGAAGAUAGCCAUUUUAUCAGCUCAGAUACCAAACUGUAGUAACUUGUUUGGUCGGUACAACUUUUUUAAUCUAUUGUAUUGACAGUCAAAAUGAAGAAAGUAAUAAAUCUGCAUUUUUUUAGUGAGAUAAUACAGUAGAGCUAUUAUUGAUGAUGCCUU